GCUUUUUCCAGGACCAGCUCAGUGGGAGCAGGCCCCGGUGAGUACUGGGACUCCUCUCUCCCCUGCCCUCCCCUCUUGUCUCUCUCUACCCCUCCUCUCCUGGGCACAGCCAUCCCAGGAGCUGUGCUGUCUCUGCCUGGCCCGUCUCUGCCCAGGGAGACCAUUCACGCGCCUCCACUUCCUGUCAGCACUAGGGCUCCCUGACUCCCGGCUUCCCCAGGGAACCAGCUCAUGCAGUUAUGCACCCAUGGGCACCAGCUCUGCCCCCAGCCUCCUUCUCUGCUGCCCUGGUACCAGGGCACCUGUCAGUCACACUGUCAUGGAUGUGAAUGUCCCAGAGCACAGCGUCUGUCUCACAGAAACUCCAGGGCCCCUUGGGCAGAGUUGACUAGAAUGUGCUUGCAGGCUGGGGCCACCGCUCCCACCCCCCAGAUGUGUGGACUCCCCAGAUUGGAGAGAAGAUGCUCCCAGCCCUUCCUUCCUGCCUGCCCCAGGGACUUGGAGACACAAGGCCCAGGAGGAGGACGAGGAGGAAAAUAAGUAUGAGCUGCCCCCCUGUGAGGCUCUGCCCCUCAGUCUAGCCCCUGCCCACCUUCCUGGCACUGAGGAGGACUCCUUGUACCUGGAUCACUCUGGCCCCCUGGGUCCAUCAAAGCCGUCGCCACCCCUGCCUCAGCCCACCAUGAGCAGGGUGCAUCGUCCAGAGUGGUGCCAGGCCCUCCAAAGAAACCUGAUGAGGACCUCUACUUGGAAUGUGAGCCCGAUCCAGGAAGGAAAUCGUCUGUUCCCUCUGUAGCCCCCACUGGGAGCACCUCAGCUGCUGAGACAGGGACACCACUUUGUUCUGCCUGAGGGGGACUCAGUUGAGCAUAGGAGAUGGGAACACAAAUAACUGCACCCUGGGUCCUCGGCUCCGCAUGCCUGAUUGAGUGCCCUGGCAUGUCUCUGAGUGACUGUGUGUAUGCACAGGACGGUGAUCUGCUGGCUCAGCCUUGGUACUCGGGGAACUGUGACCGCUAUGCUGUUGAGAGUGCCCUGCUCCACUUACAAAAGGAUGGGGCCUAUACCGUGCGCCCCAGCUCAGGGCCUCAUGGCUCCCAGCCCUUCACCCUGGCAGUGCUUCUCCGAGGCCGGGUCUUCAACAUUCCCAUCCGGCGGCUGGAUGGCGGACGCCACUAUGCCCUGGGCCGGGAGGGCAGGAACCAUGAGGAGCUCUUCUCCUCCGUGGCGGCCAUGGUCCAGCACUUCAUGUGGCACCCUCUGCCCCUUGUGGACAGACACAGCGGCAGCCGGGAACUCACCUGCCUGCUCUUCCCCACCAAGCCUUGAGGCCACAGCGAAGCUGACACCCUCUUCCUGGCCUCCAGGAAUGCAGGUGUCUGCCCAGUUCACUAGGUCCUGGAUGAAGGAACCGUG
rnacentral:sRNA from 1 species